AACGCUGUCAAUAAAUUUUUUUUCGAAAGAAAAAUCUGUUCUUAUCAGUUUAAUAUCUGAUACGUGCCCUACCCGGGCACUAUAUAUUAAAUUGAUUUUUGCAGCUGGGAGAUGGGUUAGGGGCUUGCUCCACCCACUCCACGCAUCGACCUGGUAUUGCAGUACCUCCGGGAACGGUGCACUCAUU
rnacentral:snRNA from 2 species